AAGUAGGAACGGUAGAAAAAGCCAACUUGACGGAGUUAAAAGAAACUGAUUUUUAAAAUCACUACUCAAUUAGGAGCGUGUAAAGUACUAGUUUUAUAAAACUUCCGCCUAAAAAUCCAAUCUGACCCGCAUCACUAUAUCUCGCUAUUGUACGGAAGCGUCCAAAGUACAAAACAAAUAUAACCCAAAGAUAGCUAUGAAUAUGGAAAAGAAUAACUAAAUAAAUUUGCAAUGCAAAAAUAAACAAACGAAAGAGAGAAUAACAAAUGAAAAAAUAAAAAGGCUAAGUUUUAUGUGGUUUAGCAAUGUGCCUACGUCCAUAAGUAGUCAAACGACAAAAGGCUUCCACUAACAAAUCAAGCGAAUGCAUUGAAGAAAUCCAAAAUAGAAUUGUUUAGAAAAAUCCUCUCUUAUAAACCUCACCAAAUCCAAAAUAUAAAUUGUCUUCCAAACCCUAAUUGGAACCAAACCGAAAACUCUCUCACAAACAAAGUAAUCAAAUACCAAACAAAUGGUUCAAAGAUCCAACCAAAUUGCCCAUGGAAGGCACCCAAGGAACUAUGAAGUUCAACCGAAGAAGAGAGAGUCUUUCAAAAUUAUAACUAAAUAAUCCUUCCUAAACCAAACUAAUACCCAAAGGAGUUUCUUGCCAAACUAAAAUUCCAAACCAACAAUGAAUCUAACAAAACAGGAUUUAGGAAGUCCAAAACCAAGGCAAAUUAGGACUCCAAGCUAAAACAAGUCACAUACCAAUGUGGAAACAUCCAAACGAGGCCAAAACUAAAUCAAAGCUGGAUUCAAGCCAAACUUCACAAAUCUCCACCUUGGUGAGAUACCAAUUUCUAACCCAAACACGAACGAAACUAAUCAAAACAAACCAAAUAGGCCAAAACCUUUAACUCGUCUUCAAAAACUGCCUUCAAAUCAACCCUAGCUUUAAAACAACUCUUCAUGGGAACAAAAAAAAUAACAAAUGAAUCGCUUCGUCAAACAAAUGCUCAGAACGAAUUGCACCAAAGUGCAGACCAUAAUAGAAGCAUACUAACAAAUCCGCCAAACCAAACGAAUGCUCGAGACACAUCGAGCCAUACUAACCAAACAAAACUCUGACAAAGCUCGAACCAAACAAAGAGAUUCUAGAGAGCAAACCAAACUAUAAGGGAAGCAGUGCAAGCUCUCACGAACAAACUAAACAAACUGCAGAUCACCAAAACUCUUAACAAAUUUUCAAAAUAUUGAAACAUUAAACAAAAGAGCCAAAUUUAUGAAACUUCGAGCAAACUCCAUAACCAAACAAAUGAGUCGCGAUGACUCUAAAUUUCAAGUUUCGAUAUUCAAACCAAAUUUCAAAUCCAAACCAAAUCGAAGACUCGAGGUGCAAAAUUAUCCAAACUGUCUUCAAGACCAUCCCAAAUUGCGUCCUAAAGCACAUGCACCCUUAGAGUGCCCAAUCCAAAUCGAAAUAGAAUAAGUUCAAGCAAUGGUUCAACAUAAUCCCAAAUACCAAAACUACAGUGUCAAAUAUCCAAAUCAAAUUUUUGAACUAAAAUUUGAAAACCAAGCUAGUCCUAAACAAUCUAUCUUGACCAACUUCAAAAAAAUGAAUGCAAAUUUUCAAAGAAAAAAUCAAAACCAAAGAGAUAGAACUAAUAGGAGCAAGAAUUAAUUAACGAACCAAAUUGAUACUUACCACCAAAAGAAGCAACAAUAGCAAACCUCAAACAAAGUCAAGUGAAAUAAAUAAAUAAUUGACUACUAUCCAAAACUUAACUCCAAGUUGCUUACCCAAGACACAAUGCUUACCAAAAACAAUCAAAUUCAGUGUGCUUCCCUAGCCUUUGCAAGACCUUUUCACUAAAAUAUUGCACGUACUGCUAAUCGGUAGUGUCCAAAACAAAAUUCCCAAUCUUCCUAACAAUAGUGGCUACUCCACUGGCAACCAUAUUCCCUUGAAUGGGAUACAAGUUGUUGUGCCAAUUCCUCAUCAUCGCAACCAAAGAAUACAAACAAAUGUUUAGAGCUCUACCUACCAAAGUGAUUACCAAAUCGGUGGACUAAGCUCCCAAAAAGAUGAUAUUCUGAACCAAGUCCCAGACAUACCGAACAUCAGACAAAUCAUGCAAAAAUUGAUUUUACAUAUCCCCAAAGUUUCACAGGCAUGGACAUUGCCCAUAAAGACUAUACCAGACUCCAACUCCUCAAGCUAGAAAACAAAUCCCUAUUAGGACACAUAUGAACAAGAAACUAAAAUCCACAUUUUUGAAUGGAAAACAGAUGAUGAACCCACAAGUACAAAAUCAUAAUCCACAUCCUUUCAUGACAAUUGGCAUACCAAACUUAGGGGCUCCUCUCAACUGGGGAAAAGACUUGCCCUUAACAACUAAAACAAAACGUGUCUUUAUGGGCCUACUUAUCAAGACACUACCAAACGUUUGAAGAGCAAAAGAGAAUUUUCUAAAAAAAACUCUCAAAAGCCUCACCAAAAACAAAAAUACAAAUU
rnacentral:lncRNA from 1 species